UAGAUGGAAGCUCGCUGGUUUGGGCGCCUAGCUGUUAACUAGGAGUUUGUGGGAUCGAGGCCCAUCUGUCUAG
rnacentral:tRNA from 1 species